CCAACGUGGUCAUCCAGCAAGGUUGCUCUUGUCUGGCUCUGUCCAUGUGGCAUAUGGGAGUGUAGACAUUCUGUCUGUGACACACAGUCCCGUUCCACAACGUUGGAGAGAAAGCAUGUCCCCGGCUUUCAGCUGGUGAGGACAGCAUCCUGUAUAUUCCUAGACCUUUGCAAUCUGAACAGUGACUGUGGAGAUAAACCAUGCAGAACACAAUA